UACGGGGGGAGCAAGCGUUGUUCGGAUUUACUGGGCGUAAAGGGCGCGUAGGCGGCCAGCACAAGUCAGUUGUGAAAUCUCCGAGCUUAACUCGGAAAGGUCAACUGAUACUGUGCGGCUAGAGUGCGGAAGGGGCAACUGGAAUUCUCGGUGUAGCGGUGAAAUGCGUAGAUAUCGAGAGGAACACCUGCGGCGAAGGCGGGUUGCUGGGCUGACACUGAUGCUGAAGUGCGAAAGCGUGGGGAGCAAACAGG
rnacentral:rRNA from 1 species